rnacentral:rRNA from 1 species
GAAGAACGCUGGCGGCGUGCUUAACACAUGCGAGUCGAACGGAAAGGCCCUGCUUUUGUGGGGUGCUCGAGUGGCGAACGGGUGAGUAACACGUGAGUAACCUGCCCUUGACUUUGGGAUAACUUCAGGAAACUGGGGCUAAUACCGGAUAGGAGCUCCUGCUGCAUGGUGGGGGUUGGAAAGUUUCGGCGGUUGGGGAUGGACUCGCGGCUUAUCAGCUUGUUGGUGGGGUAGUGGCUUACCAAGGCUUUGACGGGUAGCCGGCCUGAGAGGGUGACCGGCCACAUUGGGACUGAGAUACGGCCCAGACUCCUACGGGAGGCAGCAGUGGGGAAUAUUGCACAAUGGGCGGAAGCCUGAUGCAGCAACGCCGCGUGCGGGAUGACGGCCUUCGGGUUGUAAACCGCUUUCGCCUGUGACGAAGCGUGAGUGACGGUAAUGGGUAAAGAAGCACCGGCUAACUACGUG